UUACUGGACUUAUCCGUUUCGUCUCGGUCGCGGGCGGCUUCCCGCUUUGAGCGUAAAUGAGCGCGAAAUCUUUUUUUUUUUUUUUUGGCCACAGAAAAUGUUGUUGAGUAUAGAUGCGGUGUCAGUGUCAGCUACACUUUUUAUGAUAUUUAUGAUCGGAAUAUAAUUAGAGUACUUUUAUAAUAGUAACGGUAAUGUUUAAUGGUUUUAAGUCAGCAGGUUGAAGUGAGAGCUUUAAGUUUGAAUCGUGGACGAUUUGUGCUAACAAUGUAUUUAUCCGUUCAUUUAUUUUGAGUAAUGAAUGCGUCAGGGAGGAGAGACGUUGUUUAAAGGUUAAAAAUCUGUUCAUGUGCACCGAAUGCAGAGGAAGAGCAAGCUGAAGUUGUAAUUUGUUUGUCGUUGACCAAUGCUGCAUGCAUUUGAUGAGAAACAGUUAAAACAGUGGUAUUAUUGAUCAUUGAGCUUUAUCUCCUGAGCAAUUCUUAAGAUUACAGCAUUACGAGCACUACAGACUCUCCACUGCACAAUAUCCGACCAUCUAUUCAGAGCACAACCUGCAUUUU